AUUGAACGCUGGCGGCAUGCUUUACACAUGCAAGUCGAACGGUAGAGGGGGCAACCCCUUGAGAGUGGCGAACGGGUGAGUAAUGCAUCGGAACGUACCGUAUAGUGGGGGAUAACGUAGCGAAAGUUACGCUAAUACCGCAUACGCCCUGAGGGAGAAAGCGGGGGAGUGCAAGACAUCGCGUGAGUGGAGCGGCCGAUGGCGGAUUAGCUAGUUGGUGGGGUAAAGGCCCACCAAGGCGACGAUCCGUAGCUGGUCUGAGAGGACGACCAGCCACACUGGAACUGAGACACGGUCCAGACUCCUACGGGAGGCAGCAGUGGGGAAUUUCGGACAAUGGGGGCAACCCUGAUCCAGCCAUUCCGCGUGAGUGAAGAAGGCCUUCGGGUUGUAAAGCUCUUUCGGCAGGAACGAAACGGUCAUCUCUAACAUAGAUGGCCACUGACGGUACCUGAAGAAGAAGCACCGGCUAACUACGUGCCAGCCGCCGCCGUAA
rnacentral:rRNA from 1 species